rnacentral:rRNA from 1 species
UUUUACCCGCUGRAAYUAAGCAUAUCAAUAAGCGGAGGAAAAGAAACUAACAAGGAUUCCCCUAGUAACUGCGAGUGAAGCGGGAAAAGCUCAAAUUUAAAAUCUGGCGGUCUCCGGCCGUCCGAGUUGUAAUCUAGAGAAGUGUUAUCCGCGCUGGACCGUGUACAAGUCUCCUGGAAUGGAGCGUCAUAGAGGGUGAGAAUCCCGUCUUUGACACGGACUGCCAGGGCUUUGUGAUGCGCUCUCAAAGAGUCGAGUUGUUUGGGAAUGCAGCUCAAAAUGGGUGGUAAAUUCCAUCUAAAGCUAAAUAUUGGCGAGAGACCGAUAGCGAACAAGUACCGUGAGGGAAAGAUGAAAAGAACUUUGGAAAGAGAGUUAAACAGUACGUGAAAUUGCUGAAAGGGAAACGCUUGAAGUCAGUCGCGUUGGCCGGGGAUCAACCUUGCUUUUGCUGGGCGUACUUUCCGGUCGACGGGUCAGCAUCAAUUUUGACCGUUGGAUAAAGUUCAGGGGAAUGUAGCAUCUUCGGAUGUGUUAUAGCCCUUGGUCGCAUACAACGAUUGGGAUUGAGGAACUCAGCACGCCGCAAGGCCGGGUACUUGUACCACGUUCGUGCUUAGGAUGCUGGCAUAAUGGCUUUAAUCGACCCGUCUUGAAACACGGACCAAGGAGUCUAACAUGCCUGCGAGUGUUUGGGUGGAAAACCCAGGCGCGUAAUGAAAGUGAAAGUUGAGAUCCCUGUCGCGGGGAGCAUCGACGCCCGGACCAGACCUUUUGUGACGGAUCCGCGGUAGAGCAUGUAUGUUGGGACCCGAAAGAUGGUGAACUAUGCCUGAAUAGGGUGAAGCCAGAGGAAACUCUGGUGGAGGCUCGUAGCGAUUCUGACGUGCAAAUCGAUCGUCAAAUUUGGGUAUAGGGGCGAAAGACUAAUCGAACCAUCUAGUAGCUGGUUCCUGCCGA